rnacentral:lncRNA from 1 species
GUUUGUGAGCGAGUGUUUGAAAGGUGCUUGGCGCCCUCAACAGGCGGAGAAGGAUGUGACAACAUGACAAUGAUCUUGGUUCAGUUUAAGAAUCCUGUUAAUUCAACUGCUUGUAUUGGAAACAACCCUAUGUCAUCUGAUCCAUCACCUGAGAAGGCUUCUACUGGGAACCAGCCUCUCUUGUCUGAUCCAUCACUAGAGAAGGUAUCUACUGGGAACAAGCCUCUCUCGUCUGAUCCAUCACCUGAGAAGGCUUCUACAGGGAACAAGUUUCCGUCUGAUCCAUCACCGGAGAAGGCUUCUACAGGGAACAAGCCUCUCUCGUCUGAUACAUCACCCGAGAAGGCUUCUACAGGGAACAAGCCUCUCUCGUCUGAUCCAUCACCCGAGAAGGCUUCCACUGGGAACAAGCCUCUCUCGUCUGAUCCAUCACUUGAGAAGACAUACACUGGGAAUAAGCCUCAUUCAUCUGAUCCAUCACCUGAGAAGGACAAAAGCUUGGGAAAAGCUAGGUAGUGGUUGACAUAGUCAUCUGAUGGCUAUUGAAAGAAGGCAUUAUCUGAAAGUUAUGGCUCUGGUGAUUCAGGAACCAAAAAUUCAUUCGAAUUUCGAUUGAAUCCUCAUAACUGUA